rnacentral:rRNA from 1 species
UACGUAGGGUGCGAGCGUUAAUCGGAAUUACUGGGCGUAAAGCGUGCGUAGGCGGUUCGCUGUGUCCGAUGUGAAAGCCCCGGGCUUAACCUGGGAAUGGCAUUGGAAACUGGCGGGCUUGAGUGUGGCAGAGGGGGGUGGAAUUCCAGGUGUAGCAGUGAAAUGACGCAGAUAUCAGGAGGAACACCGGUGGCGAAGGCGGCUCACUGGCCCGUAACUGACGCUGAGGUGCGAAAGCGUGGGGAGCAAACAGG